rnacentral:rRNA from 1 species
UACGGAGGGUGCAAGCGUUAAUCGGAAUUACUGGGCGUAAAGCGUGCGCAGGCGGUUUGUUAAGUCUGCUGUGAAAUCCCCGAGCUCAACUUGGGAAUGGCAGUGGAUACUGGCAAGCUAGAGUGCGGUAGAGGGUAGUGGAAUUCCCGGUGUAGCAGUGAAAUGCGUAGAGAUCGGGAGGAACACCAGUGGCGAAGGCGGCUACCUGGACCAGCACUGACACUGAAGCACGAAAGCGUGGGGAGCAAACAGG